GACGAACGCUGGCGGCGUGCUUAACACAUGCCAGUCGAACGGAAAGGCCCUGCUUUUGUGGGGUGCUCGAGUGGCGAACGGGUGAGUAACACGUGAGUAACCUGCCCUUGACUUUGGGAUAACUUCAGGAAACUGGGGCUAAUACCGGAUAGGAGCUCCUGCUGCAUGGUGGGGGUUGGAAAGUUUCGGCGGUUGGGGAUGGACUCGCGGCUUAUCAGCUUGUUGGUGGGGUAGUGGCUUACCAAGGCUUUGACGGGUAGCCGGCCUGAGAGGGUGACCGGCCACAUUGGGACUGAGAUACGGCCCAGACGCCUACGGGAGGCAGCAGUGGAGAAUAUUGCACAAUGGGCGGAAGCCUGAUGCAGCAACGCCGCGUGCGGGAUGACGGCCUUCGGGUUGUAAACCGCUUUCGCCUGUGACGAAGCGUGAGUGACGGUAAUGGGUAAAGAAGCACCGGCUAACUACGUG
rnacentral:rRNA from 1 species